UCGACUGCUAUUUGGGUGAGAAUAAGCCAUGCGAGUUGAAUGGGAUACCUAAAGUUCCCAUAGCAAACUGCUCAGUAACACAUGAUCAACUUACCCUAUAGAGAAAAAUAACCUCGGGAAACUGAGGAUAAUGUUUCAUAAUUGAAUUGGCUUGGAAAAGUUUUUCAAUGAAAGGGAUAAAAAAAAUGGUUUUUAUCUGCUAUAGGAUAGGAUCGUGGACGAUUAUGGUUGUUGGUGAGGUAACGGCUCACCAAGCCGAUAAUCGAUAGGGGCCGUGAGAGCGGGAGCCCCGAGAUGGGUACUGAGACAACGACCCAGGCCUUACGAGGCGCAGCAGGCGCGAAACAUCCGCAAUACACGAAAGUGUGACGGGGUUACCCAAAGUGUUCAAUUUUGAACUGUGGUAGGUGAGUAAUGUCCCCUACUAGAAAGGAGAGGGCAAGGCUGGUGCCAGCCGCCGCGGAAAAACCAGCUCUUCAAGUGGUCGGGAUAAUUAUUGGGCUUAAAGUGUCCGUAGCCGGUUUAGUAAGUUCCUGGUAAAAUCGGGUAGCUUAACUAUCUGUAUGCUAGGAAUACUGCUAAACUAGAGGGCGGGAGAGGUCUGAGGUACUACAGGGGUAGGGGUGAAAUCUUAUAAUCCUUGUAGGACCACCAGUGGCGAAGGCGUCAGACUGGAACGUGCCUGACGGUGAGGGACGAAAGCCAGGGGAGCGAACCGGAUUAGAUACCCGGGUAGUCCUGGCCGUAAACGAUGCAUACUAGGUGAUGGCAUGGCCAUGAGCCGUGUCAGUGCCGUAGGGAAACCGUUAAGUGUGCCGCCUGGGAAGUACGGUCGCAAGGCUAAAAC
rnacentral:rRNA from 1 species